rnacentral:rRNA from 1 species
GACGAACGCUGGCGGCGUGCCUAAUACAUGCAAGUAGAACGAGUUGCGAACGGGUGAGUAAUGUCUGGGAAACUGCCUCAUAGCGGGGGAUAACUAUUGGAAACGAUAGCUAAUACCGCAUACUGUGAGAUGGCCCUGCGUUGUAUUAGCUAGUUGGUGAGGUAAAGGCUCACCAAGGCGACGAUACAUAGCCGACCUGAGAGGGUGAUCGGCCACACGGGGACGGAGACACGGUCCAGACUCCUACGGGAGGCAGCAGUGGGGAAUAUUGCACAAUGGGCGCAAGCCUGAUGCAGCCAUGCCGCGUGUAUGAAGAAGGCCUUCGGGUUGUAAAGUACUUUCAGCGGGGAGGCGUUACCCGCAGAAGAAGCACCGGCUAACUCCGUGCCAGCAGCCGCGGUAAUUC